rnacentral:rRNA from 1 species
GACGAACCGUGCGACCGUUAUUCGGAAUCACUGGGCUUAAAGCGCGUGUAGGCGGGCCGCCGCGUCGGCUGCUGAAAUCCCCCGGCUCACCCGGGGAACGGGCACCGAUACGGGCGGCCUCGAGGGGGGUAGGGGGGUCUGGAACUUCCGGUGGAGCGGUGAAAUGCGUUGAGAUCGGAAGGAACGCCCGUGGCGAAAGCGAGGCCCUGGACCCUUUCUGACGCUGAGACGCGAAAGCCAGGGGAGCGAACGGG